AUUGAACGCUGGCGGCAGGCUUAACACAUGCAAGUCGAACGAGUGGCGGACGGGUGAGUAAUUCUUGGGAAUCUGGAUUAUGGAGGGGGAUAAAGACGGGAAACUGUCGCUAAUACCGCGUACCAUAGGAUGAGCCCAAGUGGGAUUAGGUAGUUGGUGGGGUAAUGGCAAACCAGGGCGACGAGCUCUAGCUGGUCUGAGCGGAUGACCAGCCACACCGGGACUGAGCCACGGCCCGGACUCCUACGGGAGGCAGCAGUGGGGAAUAUUGCGCAAUGGGGGCAACCUGACGCAGCCAUGCCGCGUGAAUGAAGAAGGCCUUCGGGUUGUAAAGUUCUUUCGGUGACGAGGCGUUAAUCACAGAAGAAGCACCGGCUAACUCCGUGCCAGCAGCCGCGGUAAUAC
rnacentral:rRNA from 1 species